CAAUUCUAUUGCUUGGAAUCCAAUGGAGCCUAUGAACUUCACUGCGGCAAAUGAGGAUUGCAACUGCUACAGCUAUGAUGCUAGAAAACUGGACGAGGCAAAAAUGGAUUUUGAUUUCUCACCAACUGGUCGAGAAUUUGUAACUGGAUCUUAUGAUAGAACAGUGAGCUGUUGAAGCUGUUAAGAACCGCUACAAGCACCUUCCUGAAGUCAAGCGUAUUGUGAGGCACAGGCACUUACCAAAACCAAUUUACAAGGCAGCCAACCUCAGACGCACAGUGAUUGAAGCAGAAAGAAGGAAAGAACAAAGAAGAAAAGCUCAUAGUGCUCCUGGAAACAUCGUGACUAAGUCAAUUCCUAGAAGAAGAAUCAUCAAAUAGGUUGAGUGAGUUGAACAUUAACUUAUCUCCAGGAACUAUGCUUUGCACAUCAAUCAUCCCUACACGUCUGCCGUUAUCUGUAGUUCAAUGGCAGUAGACUGCAAAUCCCCAAGUUCUAUGACGUUUGCUUUGAAUCCUCAACUGAAUGUUGGCUGUAGCGAGAUGAAGCAGGAUCUUUUGUUUUUUCUUACUCUAUCUUAACAGUUUUGUCACACAGAAAGUUGUUGAUAUUUUUGUAAUUGGAAUGUUUAUCAUAAUCUAGUUAUGAAAAAUGGAUACUUA